rnacentral:rRNA from 1 species
GACGAACGCUUGCGGCGUGCUUAACACAUGCAAGUCGAACGAUGAAGCUAGAGCUUGCUCUGGUGAAUUAGUGGCGAACGGGUGAGUAACACGUGAGUAACCUGCCCCGAACUCUGGGAUAACUGCUGGAAACGGUAGCUAAUACUGGAUACGACCUACGAAGGCAUCUUCUGUAGGUGGAAAGAAUUUCGGUUCGGGAUGGACUCGCGGCCUAUCAGCUUGUUGGUGGGGUAAUGGCUCACCAAGGCGACGACGGGUAGCCGGCCUGAGAGGGUGACCGGCCACAGUGAGACGGGGACACGGCCCAGACUCCUACGGGAGGCAGCAGUGGGGAAUAUUGCAGAAUGGGCGCAAGCCUGAUGCAGCAACGCCGCGUGAGGGAUGACGGCCUUCGGGUUGUAAACCUCUUUUAGUAGGGAAGAAGCGAAAGUGACGGUACCUGCAGAAAAAGCACCGGCUAACUACGUGCCAGCCGCCGCCGUAA